GCCUACGAUCAUACUAUGUUAAAAGCACCGCAUCCCGUCUGAUCUGCGAAGUUAAGGAACGUUAGGCUGAGCUAGUACAACGAAACCGUUAUCUUCAACCUUCACAAGAAAGCGUGUUGU
rnacentral:rRNA from 1 species